AGAAUCAACGCUGGCGGCGUGCCUAACACAUGCAAGUCGAACGAGAAAGUGGAGCAAUCCAUGAGUAAAGUGGCGACCGGGUGAGUAACACGUGACUAACCUACCUUCGAGUGGGGGAUAACCUCGGGAAACCGGGGCUAAUACCGCAUAAUACCUACGGGUCAAAGGAGCAAUUCGCUUUAGGAGGGGUCGCGGCAGAUUAGUUAGUUGGCGGGGUAAUGGCCCACCAAGACAGUGAUCUGUAU
rnacentral:rRNA from 1 species